CCUUUCACUUUGCAGGUUCUACGAUUUCGUAGGUUUGUUUCUCGUUACAUCCUCAACUGGGCUCUGGUUCUGUGCUCCUCUGCUUUGUUAAGGUACGAUGGUGGCCAGAUGGGGUUUGAGACAAGAGGCAAGGCUGGAUGGAGCUUUGAGGGCCUCUGGUUUGGCGGCGGCAUGUGCCUAUCAUGGAGGAAGUGGUUACAAUAUCCAUUUGAAAGAUGGAGCGGGCACAAAAUAAGUUCCUGGUACAAUGGUGGCCAGAUGGGGUUGAGACAAGAGGCAAGGCUGGAUGGAGCUUUGAGGGCCUCCAGUUUGGCACGUGUGUCGAUCUGGAAGCACGCUAUUAGAAAAUUACCACGAAAUCAUUAGAGAGCUUCAACCGUUCCUAAUAUACUUAUGGCAAUAUUAUUAUUAGAUGAACCACUACCUAUUUCUAUCUAUGUUAGAAUUUAUGUUAUGUCUAGCUAAUGGGGGACCAAUCAUGAGCCUCACGGUUUAAAGUCAACAAAUCUCAAUCCAAAACUUGCAGUUACAAUAUUGUCUCACUCUUAACUUUGUGCCGGGGCGCAACAAAAUGAAGAGCAAAGGUUCUUUGCAUUUUUUCGAAAAAAG